AAACGAAAGUAUGACACAGAGAGGACACAUUUAAUUGAGCCCGUCAAAUUAAGUGCCAGCCGACGCGGUUAAACUUAAGGGCUGGUCUUUAUAAGUAAAAAGGCGUAAAGGAUGUGUAGGCCAAGAAACGACCCAAGUAGGUAAAUGGAAUUUUUCUGGAGCGGUAGAAUGUGAGAAUAGAAAAUAGAACCCCUAAGGUAAAAACUAUUUACCACAAGGUAGGCUGAAACAUGAGAGUGUGGGGAGCAAACAGGAUUAGAGACCCUGGUAGUCCACACUGUGAACUUUGAAGAUGAUGCUUAGCAAACCCGAAAGGUAAAAUCUUCCGCCUGAGUAGUACGAUCGCAAGAUUAAAAUUCAAAAACUUUGGCUGUUCACUAUUUCGAUUAGAGGAGCGUGUAGUUUAAUUCGAUGGUCCGCGUGUUACCUUACCCCAACUUGAACCUGUGACCGGUAUUGCAUGGCCGUCGUAAGUUCGUGUAUUAAGCUAGAAGGGACCCAACCCGGGCAUUUGCCCGGAGGAAGUCAGGUCUUAUGAUCCGAAUGUUGGGGGAUUUUAUGCGCUACAUUUUCUUAUAUAAUGAGAAACCUGGAAGGUGAGUCUCUAAAGUAAGAGUUCGGAAGGUCGCUGUAAGACGACUGGAAGUUGGAUUUAAUAGUAAUCGGAAAGUAGGGCGUUCCGGUGAAUUGGUACAAGUGUUAGCACAAAUUGCCCGUCACCUUUACUUAGAAUGGUUAUUCGG
rnacentral:rRNA from 1 species